rnacentral:rRNA from 1 species
AUUGAACGCUGGCGGCAGGCUUAACACAUGCAAGUCGAGCGAGCGGCAGACGGGUGUGUAAUGUGUGGGAAACCGCCUGAUGGAGGGGGAUCACUACGGGACACGGUCGCUAAUACCGCAUCCCAUCAGAUGUGCCCAGAUGGGAUUAGCUAGUAGGUGGGGUAAGGGCUCAUCUAGGCGACGAUCCCUAGCUGGUCUGAGAGGAUGACCAGCCACACUGGAACUGAGACACGGUCCAGACUCCUACGGGAGGCAGCAGUGGGGAAUAUUGCACAAUGGGCGCAAGCCUGAUACAGCCAUGCCGCGUGUGUGAAGAAGGCCUUCGGGUUGUAAAGCACUUUCAGCGAGGAGGCGUUACUCGCAGAAGAAGCACCGGCUAACUCCGUGCCAGCAGCCGCGGUAAUUC